UUUUCUAGGGCCACGUCCGCGGCACAUGGAGGUUCCCAGGCUAGGGGUUGAAUCGGAGCUGUAGCCACUGGUCUACGCCAGAGCCACAGCAACGCAGGCUCUGAGCCUCAUCUGCAACCUACACCACAGCUCAUGGCAACACCGGAUCCUUAACCCACUGAGCGAGGCCAGGGAUCGAACCCGAAACCUCAGCGUUCCUAGUCGGAUUCGUUAACCACUGAGCCCCGAUGGGAACUCCAUCCCUUGUAAUUUUGAAAAGUGUCUCCUAUAUUUACAGGUCAUCUCUAUUUCAUCUGGGACUUUCUGUACACGGCAUUUGCUUACGAGAGUGGAGUUCUUUAAACUCAUUGAUAAGAAGUCUUACACAUUAAGGAUAGUAACUCUGUUGUAGCUGCUCUCAACUUUUUUCUAGUUAAUCAUUCCGUUAGAAUUUUAAUUAUGAUCUGUGACAGAGCUUCAGUUAGUAUGUGGUAAAAUUUAUAGGUUAUUUCCAUUGUUCAUUCUCUGCACUUUCAGCCCAAGCAUGAAGUUUCCACAGUUCCUUCUGCUUCCAUAUUUCCUUCUGUUUAUUUUACAAUUUUAUUUUUUUACAUGAAACUCUUACUCUGCUUGGAGUUUAUCUUGGCAUGAAGUGGUGAGGUGAAAUCUCACCUGACUAUUUUCCCCAAUACUCACCUGGUGUCUCAUUCUGUUUCCUGUCUUCGGAUGCCUCCUUAUCAUAUGCCCACUUCCUAAACUUACCAGGGCUUGUUCCUGGCCAGACAAGUGUGGGAACACAGCAGGGAGGCCGAUUUGGCCAAGGUCAGAGACCGAGCUAGGGAACAGCACAGACGGGGUCUCGGCCCCUCAGCCUAAGUCCACACACCUUUUCCUAGACCCCAAUCGCCCUAAAGCAAUGUUCAUUUUCUGAAGCCCUCAUCUAAAGGUUUUGAGGACAUAACUAGAUCAAUGAACUGACAAAAAAACUGGUUUAGAUUCAGGGAAAGCAAUUGAAUGUGCUCCCCAAAUCUCAUCAUCAAGAGAACCGGGUUUCUGCUCUGGGCAGGGGAAGGUUCUUGGAAAGACCUGAGUGUGUAUUUUGGAAACCAGCAGAGAGACACACCAGACUGGUGUGAGGGCGCAUCUGUAAAGGUUUCUCUAGAGACCAGCUUCUUUUUUUUUUUAGGACUGCACCCUCACAUAUGGAAGUUCCCAGGCUGGGGUCCAAUCGGAGCUACAGCUGCCAGCCUACACCACAACCACAGCAACACUGGAUCUGAGCUGUGUCUGCGACCUACACCACAGCAGCAACGCCGGAUCCUUAACCCACUGAGUGAGGCCAGGGAUCGGACCUGCAUGAUAGCAGUGGGAUUGUUUCUGCUGCACCACAACAGGAACUCCCCGGUAGGCUUCAUAAGAAGCUGGCCAUAUAGAUGGGUUUUCUUUAACCCUGGGGUUCUUGUCCAUGGGCUUGAUGGAGUCUGUGAGGUCCAUGAAAUUAUAUGCGAGUGUAUGUGUCUGUGGUGCUUUUUUUCUGGGAAGAGGAUUGUUAGAACCUCCAUUGAAAUCCAUGAGUAGUGAGGUUCCUAAAGAGGGUGCUAUGAUUCAAAGACUAUGAUUAAGUCCAUUGCCCUGUGACCUGCUGACCACUUGAGAAGUUCUGUGAACAUAUCACCACGUGUGCUCCACUUAAAUUCCUGUCACCAUUUCUCGACUUUCUCUUCCAAUUCUUUUCUCAGCCUAAGUGCCCUGCAAUUGUUUCCUUCAUAUGGCAGGACUACUGCAAGUUCAGCACGCUGCCUUUAAGAUCACCUGCCAGUCUUAAGACGAAGACACAGAAGAGAGGCUCAUCAGACUUACUAAAAGGCGUGCGGCUCAAAAAAGACGGGAAAAGUCCUUGCUGAUUUCCACUGGGAACCAUUCGGAUUGGGACAUAUGCAUUUGAGCAGGAUGUGAGCAUUCCUUAUCUCUGUGUCUGAAAUGCCCAAGAGGGUUACAUCCCAUGCACCUCACACAGUACAGCUAUAAACAAUUAAACAGCUACACAUUAUCUUGGAGAGUCUAACCAAUUGAAUAUGGCAAGAAAAAGAAAUCAUUGAAAUAAAUAAUAGCAAAAGGAGAACAAGAAACAUAACACAGCAACUAUCACAUACACAGAAAAGUCAAAGAAGUAACAAAAUUACCAAUUGUAGCUAAAGAAGUUGUAAAGAAAACAAGCAUAAACAAACAUGAAUUAUCACCCAUGUUUAUCAAUUACCAUAAUUAGGCACUAUUCUCAACAAGAACAACAGCAGCAAAAUAUUUAGGAAGCACAUAAAAGCUUUGUGUCAAUAAAGAGAUGGGCCAUGCUCAAGCUGCAAAGAUGUCAAUUCUACCCACGGUCUAGUUCGCAGGUUUCGUAGACCAUAAUUCCUCACUUUUAGCUAUUUUUGUAUCCUGAGGUCCUAGCCUAUAGAAGGCACCCAUUAUUAUGAUUUGGAUAAGUGAGCUCUGAAUCAAAAUCCUAAAUGAAUUUUUCCAGGAACUGGGAGUGAUGCCAACCUUCAUUUUUAGACAGAAACAGGGAAGAACUAAAAAAGAAGAGCUGAAGGAAACCAGAUCUACCAGAUUUAAACAUGUUAUAGAUCAACAGUUAAUAAAACAGUGCAGUAUUGGUAUGUACACACCAAAGCCGUAAACCAAUAGAAGAAAAAAACGCAACCAAGAAAAGUGGAUGUAAGAAUCAUAUGUUUAUGCACCUCUAUGGUCACAGCAGCACCAUUCACAACAGUCAAGACAUGGAAGCGAACUAGAUGUCUGUCACCAGAAGAAUGGGUAAAGGUGUGGUUGUAUAUACAAUGGAAUAUUAUUCAGCCCUUAAAAAGAACAAGAUAAUGCCAUUUGCAUCAACAAGGAUAGAACUAGAGAUUAUCACAAGUGAAGUCAGUCAGAAAAACAAAUACUAUAUGACAUCACUUAUAUGUAGAAUCUAAACGAUGACAUAAAUGAACUUAUCUACGAAAUAGACUCAUAGACAUAGAGAACAGACUUGUGGUUGCCAAGGGAGGGGUAGAGAGGGAUGGAUUGGGAGUCUGGGAUUAGAGAUGCAAAAUACUACAGACAGGAUGUCCCACUGUAGAGCACAGGGAACUAUUUAAUAUCUUGCGAUAAAACCAUAAUGGAAGAGUAUGAUACAGGUUAUAUAUAAGUGUAUACACACACACACACACACACACACACAUCUGAGUCACUUUGCUGUACAGCAGAAAUUAACACAUUGUAAGUCAACUACAAUAAAUUUUUUUAAAAGACUUACGUGUUUAAAAAAAGAGCAGCAUCAUAAAACAAUGGAUAAGUGAAGAAUCAUUGUAUAACCUAUUACAGUAAAUAACAUCUAACCAUACAUCUCUUUUCGUCACCUCAAACAUUACAGUGUUAAGUAUGUUUUCAAGUCAAUCUCCAAGGCCCUUGUCUUCGUCUGGCUGCCAUCACCUCUGUCACCUUGUCACUGUUUCCUAGCUAGUCUCCUUUCGCUUUCGCCUCUUUCCUUUCUUCCACAGUCCUAACUCCACCUGCUGCCAAAGUUGUCUUCCUAAAGCACCCACUUAAUUUUCUCAACCUUCUACACAUGAGGACGUCUCAGGUUCCACCGCAGUGGUCUUCAAACCAUGAUCCCCUUGAAAGUGGGACAGAGGCCUCUCCGAGGAUGGUCUUCCACAGUUGAGAACCAAAACCAAUCAAUACUGCCUGACUCCUAGAGUUCCCGCUGCAGCGCAGUGUGUUAAGAGUCAGACUGCUGUGGUUCUGGGCAGCUGCAGAGGUGCAGGUUCAAUCCCCAGCCUGGUGAGUGGAUUAAGGAUUCGGCACUGCUGCAGCUGUGGAGUCGGUCGAAACUGCGGCUUGGAUUCAAUCCCUGGCCUGGGAACUUCCAUAUGCUGUGCGCGAAGCCAUAAACUAAAAACAAAAAUAAAAAUACUGCCUGACUCCAAAAAGUUGGUGUUUAUGGUGCUGGGUGGUCAUGUAUUUGAAUCCUGCCAUCAUGGGGUCGUUUGGGGAAUACUAUUAAUCCUAGCACGUUCAAAAAUGCAAAAGCAGUGAGAGUACCAAAGGGGUUGUAAGAGAGGAUGAACAAAUAUAAUGAAAAUUAGAGAAGCUAAGAGUUACACUGGGAGAAAUGAUGCCUCCACAGACUUUCGACAUACAAAAACAUUGUCCAUUCGGGGAAAAGAUGGCCAUCCACUUUACACCAGGCAAAGAAAAUUAAGUAUGCUCGCUUUAAGGUGUUUUAUAGCUUCGAAGAAUCAACUUACUCCUCC
rnacentral:lncRNA from 1 species